rnacentral:misc_RNA from 1 species
ACAGCUAGUGUCUUCAUUGUACGCUGCAAGGAAAGAAUCGCAAACAUGCUGUGAUUAGAAGCUUAUUUGCAUGUCUUCAAAAGAAGGGAAACAAAAGGUUAAUUAAGAAGCUUAAACGCCAACGCAUCUAAAGAAGGAUUACAAUUUACAAGUUUAGCAUCAUAGCAAAAUCUCUCGGGGAUAAGGCAAAUAGGCAACCACCUACUUGCAUUUUAUGCCUGCCACAGCGCAGGGAUCUAAGAUCUAAAAUGAAGUGCCUACCCAUGUAAAAACACUCUAGUUGCAUAUUUCCCACUAGAAAGUAACUAAUUCAGCAGAGCAUGACAUCCGAAAACAAAGAAUAUGAAUUUGUAUUAUACUUGAUCCUGCAUUAACUUGUUUGAACAAAGAAAUGUAAUUUAAAAAUGAAGCAUGCCAUAGUUGGCAGAUACAGAGAUAUUGAAAGCUCAUUUCUUAUUAAAGAUUUGAGUCAAUAGCCAACAAAGUACAAUGCAAGAGUUGCUCAAAGGUAAAAGGCUUAAUUUGAGGCUAGGAAGCUAAUAUAAUAGGUUAGAAGAAUAUAAUAGCAAAAGUCAAAACACACUUUUUGUUGGAGGACAGUAAGUGUGAUCAUUCAUAUUGUGAACCUGAGAAUACAUUGCUAUAUCAGGUUCGGAAUUACAUCCACAAGCCCUCUUCCCUAAGAUAACCUUUCAUUUUCACAGUGAUUG